rnacentral:rRNA from 1 species
GACGAACGCUGGCGGCGUGCUUAACACAUGCAAGUCGAGCGGAAAGGCCACUUCGGUGGUACUCGAGCGGCGAACGGGUGAGUAACACGUGAGUAAUCUGCCCCUGGCUUUGGGAUAGCCACCGGAAACGGUGAUUAAUACCGGAUAUGACACAUUCUCGCAUGAGUUUGUUUGGAAAGUUUUUCGGCCAGGGAUGUGCUCGCGGCCUAUCAGCUUGAUGGUGAGGUAAUGGCUCACCAUGGCUUCGACGGGUAGCCGGCCUGAGAGGGUGACCGGUCACACUGGGACUGAGACACGGCCCAGACUCCUACGGGAGGCAGCAGUGGGGAAUAUUGGACAAUGGGCGGAAGCCUGAUCCAGCAACGCCGCGUGAGGGAUGACGGCCUUCGGGUUGUAAACCUCUUUCAGUACCGACGAAGCGCAAGUGACGGUAGGUACAGAAGAAGCACCGGCCAACUACGUG